UCGUUCCCACGGGGGGCAGCAGUGAGGAAUAUUGGUCAAUGGGCUUACGCCUGAACCAGCCAAGUCGCGUGAGGGAAGACUGCCCUAUGGGUUGUAAACCCCUUUUGUCGGGGAGCAACGCCGGCUACGUGUAGCCGGACUGAGAGUACCUGAAGAAAAAGCAUCGGCUAACUCCGUGCCAGCAGCCGCGGUAAUACGGAGGAUGCGAGCGUUAUCCGGAUUUAUUGGGUUUAAGGG
rnacentral:rRNA from 1 species